GAUGAACGCUGGCGGCGUGCCUAAUACAUGCAAGUCGAGCGAACAGACGAGGAGCUUGCUCCUCUGACGUUAGCGGCGGACGGGUGAGUAACACGUGGAUAACCUACCUAUAAGACUGGGAUAACUUCGGGAAACCGGAGCUAAUACCGGAUAAUAGAUUGAAUCGCAUGGUUCAAUAUUGAAAGGCGGUUUUGCUGUCACUUAUAGAUGGAUCCGCGCCGCAUUAGCUAGUUGGUAAGGUAACGGCUUACCAAGGCAACGAUGCGUAGCCGACCUGAGAGGGUGAUCGGCCACACUGGAACUGAGACGCGGUCCAGACUCCUACGGGAGGCAGCAGUAGGGAAUCUUCCGCAAUGGGCGAAAGCCUGCCGGAGCAACGCCGCGUGAGUGAUGAAGGUCUUCGGAUCGUAAAACUCUGUUAUUAGGGAAGAACAAAUGUGUAAGUAACUAUGCACGUCUUGACGGUACCUAAUCAGAAAGCCACGGCUAACUACGUG
rnacentral:rRNA from 1 species